rnacentral:rRNA from 1 species
GGGUUGUGAGGUUAAGCGACUAAGCGUACACGGUGGAUGCCCUGGCAGUCAGAGGCGAUGAAGGACGUGCUAAUCUGCGAUAAGCGUCGGUAAGGUGAUAUGAACCGUUAUAACCGGCGAUUUCCGAAUGGGGAAACCCAGUGUGAUUCGUCACACUAUCAUUAACUGAAUCCAUAGGUUAAUGAGGCGAACCGGGGGAACUGAAACAUCUAAGUACCCCGAGGAAAAGAAAUCAACCGAGAUUCCCCCAGUAGCGGCGAGCGAACGGGGAGCAGCCCAGAGCCUGAAUCAGUGUGUGUGUUAGUGGAAGCGUCUGGAAAGGCGUGCGAUACAGGGUGACAGCCCCGUACACAAAAAUGCACAUACUGUGAGCUCGAUGAGUAGGGCGGGACACGUGGUAUCCUGUCUGAAUAUGGGGGGACCAUCCUCCAAGGCUAAAUACUCCUGACUGACCGAUAGUGAACCAGUACCGUGAGGGAAAGGCGAAAAGAACCCCGGCGAGGGGAGGGAAAAAGAACCUGAAACCGUGUACGUACAAGCAGUGGGAGCACGCUUAGGCGUGUGACUGCGUACCUUUUGUAUAAUGGGUCAGCGACUUAUAUUCUGUAGCAAGGUUAACCGAAUAGGGGAGCCGAAGGGAAACCGAGUCUUAACUGGGCGUUAAGUUGCAGGGUAUAGACCCGAAACCCGGUGAUCUAGCCAUGGGCAGGUUGAAGGUUGGGUAACACUAACUGGAGGACCGAACCGACUAAUGUUGAAAAAUUAGCGGAUGACUUGUGGCUGGGGGUGAAAGGCCAAUCAAACCGGGAGAUAGCUGGUUCUCCCCGAAAGCUAUUUAGGUAGCGCCUCGUGAAUUCAUCUCCGGGGGUAGAGCACUGUUUCGGCAAGGGGGUCAUCCCGACUUACCAACCCGAUGCAAACUGCGAAUACCGGAGAAUGUUAUCACGGGAGACACACGGCGGGUGCUAACGUCCGUCGUGAAGAGGGAAACAACCCAGACCGCCAGCUAAGGUCCCAAAGUCAUGGUUAAGUGGGAAACGAUGUGGGAAGGCCCAGACAGCCAGGAUGUUGGCUUAGAAGCAGCCAUCAUUUAAAGAAAGCGUAAUAGCUCACUGGUCGAGUCGGCCUGCGCGGAAGAUGUAACGGGGCUAAACCAUGCACCGAAGCUGCGGCAGCGACGCUUAUGCGUUGUUGGGUAGGGGAGCGUUCUGUAAGCCUGUGAAGGUGUGCUGUGAGGUAUGCUGGAGGUAUCAGAAGUGCGAAUGCUGACAUAAGUAACGAUAAAGCGGGUGAAAAGCCCGCUCGCCGGAAGACCAAGGGUUCCUGUCCAACGUUAAUCGGGGCAGGGUGAGUCGACCCCUAAGGCGAGGCCGAAAGGCGUAGUCGAUGGGAAACAGGUUAAUAUUCCUGUACUUGGUGUUACUGCGAAGGGGGGACGGAGAAGGCUAUGUUGGCCGGGCGACGGUUGUCCCGGUUUAAGCGUGUAGGCUGGUUUUCCAGGCAAAUCCGGAAAAUCAAGGCCGAGGCGUGAUGACGAGGCACUACGGUGCUGAAGCAACAAAUGCCCUGCUUCCAGGAAAAGCCUCUAAGCAUCAGGUAACAUCAAAUCGUACCCCAAACCGACACAGGUGGUCAGGUAGAGAAUACCAAGGCGCUUGAGAGAACUCGGGUGAAGGAACUAGGCAAAAUGGUGCCGUAACUUCGGGAGAAGGCACGCUGAUACGUAGGUGAAGCGACUUGCUCGUGGAGCUGAAAUCAGUCGAAGAUACCAGCUGGCUGCAACUGUUUAUUAAAAACACAGCACUGUGCAAACACGAAAGUGGACGUAUACGGUGUGACGCCUGCCCGGUGCCGGAAGGUUAAUUGAUGGGGUUAGCGCAAGCGAAGCUCUUGAUCGAAGCCCCGGUAAACGGCGGCCGUAACUAUAACGGUCCUAAGGUAGCGAAAUUCCUUGUCGGGUAAGUUCCGACCUGCACGAAUGGCGUAAUGAUGGCCAGGCUGUCUCCACCCGAGACUCAGUGAAAUUGAACUCGCUGUGAAGAUGCAGUGUACCCGCGGCAAGACGGAAAGACCCCGUGAACCUUUACUAUAGCUUGACACUGAACAUUGAGCCUUGAUGUGUAGGAUAGGUGGGAGGCUUUGAAGUGUGGACGCCAGUCUGCAUGGAGCCGACCUUGAAAUACCACCCUUUAAUGUUUGAUGUUCUAACGUGGACCCGUGAUCCGGGUUGCGGACAGUGUCUGGUGGGUAGUUUGACUGGGGCGGUCUCCUCCUAAAGAGUAACGGAGGAGCACGAAGGUUGGCUAAUCCUGGUCGGACAUCAGGAGGUUAGUGCAAUGGCAUAAGCCAGCUUGACUGCGAGCGUGACGGCGCGAGCAGGUGCGAAAGCAGGUCAUAGUGAUCCGGUGGUUCUGAAUGGAAGGGCCAUCGCUCAACGGAUAAAAGGUACUCCGGGGAUAACAGGCUGAUACCGCCCAAGAGUUCAUAUCGACGGCGGUGUUUGGCACCUCGAUGUCGGCUCAUCACAUCCUGGGGCUGAAGUAGGUCCCAAGGGUAUGGCUGUUCGCCAUUUAAAGUGGUACGCGAGCUGGGUUUAGAACGUCGUGAGACAGUUCGGUCCCUAUCUGCCGUGGGCGCUGGAGAACUGAGGGGGGCUGCUCCUAGUACGAGAGGACCGGAGUGGACGCAUCACUGGUGUUCGGGUUGUCAUGCCAAUGGCACUGCCCGGUAGCUAAAUGCGGAAGAGAUAAGUGCUGAAAGCAUCUAAGCACGAAACUUGCCCCGAGAUGAGUUCUCCCUGACCCUUUAAGGGUCCUGAAGGAACGUUGAAGACGACGACGUUGAUAGGCCGGGUGUGUAAGCGCAGCGAUGCGUUGAGCUAACCGGUACUAAUGAACCGUGAGGCUUAACCUUACAACGCCGAAG